rnacentral:misc_RNA from 1 species
GGAUUUAUUAUAACUAGGAGCCAGCAUACUUCCAUUUCAGGCGAGCCCAAUGUCCUCUUAUCAUGACACCACUUAUUUUGGAGAGCAUGUAAAAUUGAAAUUUACAACAAUUUCGAUGGCAAUGGACUACUGGCCAUUCUCAUGCAAACAGCAGAGCAGAAUAUAAGAUGGAACCUAAAUCACCUACAGAUGGUCAUGGUUAAAACGACAAGAAUUAUAAUAUGAAUCCAUAUGAAGCAAAGGCAGCCAAAGCCCAAAGCAACGUAUUGCGAUAUACAAAAAUUCCUGGUAUUCAGUAACAUCUUUCUUCUACAUUAGUUCAUAAAUCAUUGGCAAAUCAUAUGGUAUAAGCUCAAUUUUAGUUCCAAAAAUGAAAUGCAUCUUCGGCUGCGAUCCCAAAAUAAAAACACCAACCACAACAGCUGGAAAACACAAGCUCACAGUCUUCUACCUCUUCUACCACCCUUUCUGCGAGUGCUAUCAGUGGGAAUUGGAGUCACGUCUUCUAUGCGACCAAUUUUCAUUCCA